CACGCCGGCAGCACAAUGAUGAUGUCACUGACUCUACUGCUGGCCACCCUGGGGCUCCUUGUUCAGGGUUCAUCAGGACAAAUCAUCGUGACUCAGUCUCCUGGAGCUCAGUCUGUGGUUGCAGGGCAGUCUGUCUCCAUCACAUGUAGAACCAGUACAAGUGUUGGUGACUGGCUUCACUGGUACCUUCAGAAACCUGGCAAAGCUCCUAAACUCCUGAUUUAUAAAGCUACAAAUCGUCAGUCUGGAGUUUCAGAUCGUUUCAGUGGAAGUGGAUCUGGUACUGACUUCACUCUGAGCAUCAGAGGAGUCCAGGCUGAAGAUUCAGGAGUUUAUUACUGUCAGCAGGGUAGCAACUUGUUCACACAGCGAUACAGCGCCGUACAAAAACCUCCCUCAGCUUUAGAGGAACUGUCUCAACAGCUGCACUCAGACUAAAGACUAACUUAGCUGUGAAGGAAACAAACACUGUGCAGCUCAUCAGGUUAUACUAACACAUUUCAGUUUAACAAAAACUGAACUUUCUAAGUCAGUUUUGAAAAAUUCUGUUGAUGAUCAUUUUAAUAACACAAAUGCAGGCCAUUUACAAAUACUAAAACAUUAAGUAUGGAUGUUUUUUAUUGUUUACA